rnacentral:rRNA from 1 species
UACGUAGGGAGCGAGCGUUGUCCGGAAUCAUUGGGCGUAAAGGGCGCGUAGGCGGUCUAGCAAGUCAAAUGUGAAAUACACUGGCUUAACCAGUGGACGGCGUUUGAAACUGCAAGACUUGAGUGCAGUAGAGGAGAGUGGAAUUCCUGGUGUAGCGGUGAAAUGCGUAGAUAUCAGGAGGAACAUCGGUGGCGAAGGCGGCUCUCUGGCCUGUAACUGACGCUGAGGCGCGAAAGCGUGGGAGCGAACCGG